ACGGAGGCAGCAGUGGGGGAUAUUGGACAAUGGGGGCAACCCUGAUCCAGCGACGCCGCGUGAGUGAAGAAGUAUUUCGGUAUGUAAAGCUCUAUCAGCAGGGAAGAAAAAGCGCAAGCAUUGACUGUACCUGACUAAGAAGCCCCGGCUAACUACGUGCCAGCAGCCGCGGUAAUACGUAGGGGGCAAGCGUUAUCCGGAUUUACUGGGUGUAAAGGGAGCGUAGGCGGCGAUGCAAGUCAGAUGUGGAAACCCGGGGCUCAACCUCGGGACUGCAUUUGAAACUGUAUUGCUUGAGUAUCGGAGAGGUGAGUGGAAUUCCUAGUGUAGCGGUGAAAUGCGUAGAUAUUAGGAAGAACACCGGUGGCGAAGGCGGCUCACUGGACGAUAACUGACGCUGAGGCUCGAAAGCGUGGGGAGCAAACAGGAUUAGAUACCCUGGUA
rnacentral:rRNA from 1 species